GAGAAAGUAAGCAAGGGCAGACGGUGGAUGCCUUGGCUCUCGGAGGCGACGAAGGACGUGAUAAGCUGCGAAAAGCUCGGGGGAGGCGCAAAUAGCCGUUGAUCCCGGGAUAUCCGAAUGGGGCAACCCGGCAGGCUGAAGGCCUGCCAUCCCGUAAGGGAGGCGAACGUGGGGAACUGAAACAUCUAAGUACCCAUAGGAGGAGAAAAUAAACAAUGAUUCCGUAAGUAGUGGCGAGCGAACACGGAAGAGCCCAAACCCAUGUCGUCUAGGCGACACGGGGGUUGUAGGACCACGACGUGGCAAGAUAGAGUCAAGUGGAACGCCUUGGAAAAGGCGGUCAUAGAGGGUGAAAACCCCGUACACGACUGACGAUUGAAGCCUAGUGGCAUCCUGAGUAGCGCGGGGCACGAGAAAUCUUGCGUGAAACUGCGGGGCCCAUCCCGUAAGGCUAAAUACUCCCGAGAGACCGAUAGCGAACCAGUACCGUGAGGGAAAGGUGAAAAGAACCCCGAGCAGGGGAGUGAAAUAGACCCUGAACCCGUCUGCCUACAAGCGGUCGGAGCAUCGUCAAGAUGUGACGGCGUGCCUUUUGCAUAAUGAACCUACGAGUUACCUUCCCCGGCAAGGUUAAGUACCUAAGGUACGGAGCCGAAGCGAAAGCGAGUCUGAAGAGGGCGGCCAGUCGGGGGGGGUAGACGCGAAACCGAGUGAUCUACCCUUGGCCAGGUUGAAGGUUGGGUAACACCAACUGGAGGACCGGAUGGGUAAGCGUUGAAAAGCUUUCCAAUGAGCUGAGGGUAGGGGUGAAAGGCUAAUCAAACUCGGAGAUAGCUCGUACUCCCCGAAAUGCAUUUAGGUGCAGCCUCUUUAUAGUAUAUCGUGAGGUAGAGCGACUGAUUGGAUGCGAGGGCUUCACCGCCUAUCAAGUCCAGAUAAACUCCGAAUGCGCGAUAUAUAUUUAAAGGGAGUGAGGGCGCGGGUGCUAAGGUCCGUGUCCGAGAGGAGAAGAAUCCAGACCACCGGCUAAGGCCCCCAAAUGAUCGUUGAGUUGAACUAACGAGGUCGGAUCGCAGAGACAGCUAGGAUGUUGGCUUGGAAGCAGCCAUUCAUUUAAAGAGUGCGUAACAGCUCACUAGUCGAGCGAUCUGGCGUGGAUAAUAAUCGGGCAUAAACGAUCUGCCGAAGCCGUGGAUGUCGUAAGACAUGGUAGGGGAGCAUUCCAUGCGGCGUCGAAGAUGAGGGAUGACCCUUGUUGGAGCGCAUGGAAAAGCAAAUGUAGGUAUGAGUAACGAUAAGGGGGGCGAGAAACCCCCCCGCCGAAAGACCAAGGUUUCCUGAUCAACGCUAAUCGGAUCAGGGUGAGUCGGGACCUAAGGCAAAGCCGAACGGCGCCGCCGAUGGAAGAAUGGGUUAAUAUUCCCAUACUGCCUCAUGGAGUGACGUGGAGACGGAGAAGUGACAGUCCUGCCGGCUGACGGAAUAGCCGGUUGAAGGGUGUAGAUAUUGAUUCCCGUAGGCAAAUCCGCGGGGAGAGUCGAACCUGACAGUAUAUCGAGUACUUGUACGAGGUAAUAUGGACGUAACCAUGCUCCCAAGAAAAUCCGCUAAACUUAUCCAUGCGGCACCCGUACCGUAAACGGACACACGUGGUCGGGUUGAGAAUACUGAGGCGCUCGAGUGACUCACGGUUAAGGAACUAGGCAAAUUGACCCUGUAACUUCGGGAUAAAGGGUCCUCGUCGUAAGGCGAGGCGCAGAGAAUAGGUCCAGGCAACUGUUUAACAAAAACACAUGGCUGUGCUAAAUGGAAACAUGACGUAUACAGCCUGACACCUGCCCGGUGCUGGAAGGUUAAGAGGAGAUGUCAUCGCAAGAGAAGCGUUGAAUUGAAGCCCCAGUAAACGGCGGCCGUAACUAUAACGGUCCUAAGGUAGCGAAAUUCCUUGUCGGGUAAGUUCCGACCUGCACGAAUGGUGUAAUGAUCUGGACACUGUCUCAACCGUGAGCUCGGUGAAAUUGUAGUAUCGGUGAAGAUGCCGAUUACCCGCGAUGGGACGAAAAGACCCCGUGAACCUUUACUAUAGCUUUACAUUGAAUUUGGGCAGACGAUGUGUAGGAUAGGCCGGAGGCUUUGAAGGGGGUACGCCAGUAUCCUUGGAGCCGCCGUUGAAAUACGGCCCUUCGGUUGUUUGAGUUCUAACUCCUAGGCAGGAGGACACUGUAUGGUGGGUAGUUUGACUGGGGUGGUCGCCUCCAAAAGCGUAACGGAGGCUUCUAAAGGUGCCCUCAGACCGAUUGGUAACCGGUCGUAGAGUGUAAUGGCAUAAGGGCGCUUGACUGGGAGAGAUACAACUCGAUCAGGUAGGAAACUAGAGCAUAGUGAUCCGGUGGUUCCGCAUGGAAGGGCCAUCGCUCAAAGGAUAAAAGGUACUCCGGGGAUAACAGGCUGAUCAUUCCCAAGAGCUCAUAUCGACGGAAUGGUUUGGCACCUCGAUGUCGGCUCGUCACAUCCUGGGGCUGGAGAAGGUCCCAAGGGUUGGGCUGUUCGCCCAUUAAAGUGGCACGCGAGCUGGGUUCAGAACGUCGUGAGACAGUUCGGUCUCUAUCUAUCGUGGGCGCAGGAGAUUUGAGGGGCUCUGACACUAGUACGAGAGGACCGUGUUGGACGUACCACUGGUUUACCGGUUGUCCCGCCAGGGGCACCGCCGGGUAUCUAAGUACGGAUCGGAUAAGUGCUGAAAGCAUCUAAGUACGAAGCCGGCCUCAAGAUUAGAUCUCCCUCAAGGGUGGUUAUAGACGAUGACCUUGAUAGGCCACAGGUGUAAGGGCGGCGACGUCCGAGCCGAGUGGUACUAAUGGCCCGGGACUUUCCUCA
rnacentral:rRNA from 1 species